ensembl:snoRNA SNORD115 Small nucleolar RNA SNORD115
GGGUCAAUGAUGAGAACUCAUACUGUCUUGAAGAGACAUGAUGACUUACAAAGCAUGCACAAUAGGAUUACACUGAGACCC